UGGGUUAGUCCGCACGAGCGCACCCUAUCGUUAGUUGCCAGCAUUAGUUGGGCACUCUAGCGAGACUGCCGGUGAUAAGCCGGAGGAAGGCGGGGAUGACGUCAAGUCCUCAUGGCCCUUAUGGGCUGGGCUACACACGUGCUACAAUGGCAGUGACAGAGGGACGCUACCAGGUGACUGGAUGCAAAUCUCAAAAAGCUGUCUCAGUUCGGAUUGUUGUCUGCAACUCGACAACAUGAAGUCGGAAUCGCUAGUAAUCGCGUAUCAGCUCGACGCGGUGAAUACGUUCCCGGGCCUUGUACACACCGCCCGUCACACCAUGGGAGUUGGCUUUACCUGAAGCCGGUGCGCUAACCUUAGGGGAGCAGCCGACCACGGUAGGGUCAGCGACUGGGGUGAAGUCGUAACAAGGUAGCCGUAGGGGAACCUGCGGCUGGAUCACCUCCUUUC
rnacentral:rRNA from 1 species